UUGAACGCACCUUGCGCUCCUUGGUAUUCCGAGGAGCAUGCCUGUUUGAGUGUCAUUUG
rnacentral:rRNA from 1 species